UACAGAGGUCUCAAGCGUUGUUCGGAUUCAUUGGGCGUAAAGGGUGCGUAGGCGGCGCGGUAAGUCGGGUGUGAAAUCUCGGAGCUUAACUCCGAAACUGCAUUCGAUACUGCCGUGCUUGAGGACUGGAGAGGAGACUGGAAUUUACGGUGUAGCGGUGAAAUGCGUAGAGUAAUCGUAAGGAAGACCAGUGGCGAAGGCGGGUCUCGUGGACAGUUCCUGACGCUGAGGCACGAAGGCCAGGGGAGCAAACGGG
rnacentral:rRNA from 1 species